GUGCAGCAGGCGAGAAACCUCCGCAAUGCGCGCAAGCGCGACGGGGCCAUCCCGAGUGCCGCUCGCUGAGGGCGGCUUUCUCCGGUGUAAGUAGCCGGAGGAAUAAGGAGAGGGCAAGUCUGGUGUCAGCCGCCGCGGUAAUACCAGCUCUCCGAGUGGUGGGGACGAUUAUUGGGCCUAAAGCGUCCGUAGCCGGCUUGACAAGUCUCCCGUUAAAUCCAGCGGCCUAACCGCUGGGCUGCGGGAGAUACUGUCAAGCUUGGGGGCGGGAGAGGCCAGCGGUAUUCCCGGGGUAGGGGUGAAAUCCGUUAAUCCCGGGAGGACCACCAGUGGCGAAGGCGGCCGGCCGGAACGCGCCCGACGGUGAGGGACGAAAGCUGGGGGAGCGAACCGGAUUAGAUACCCCGUA
rnacentral:rRNA from 1 species